AUAGUUGCAGGCGAUGGGGAUAUUAUGACCAAGAUUGUGGGUUCCCCAGGGUGAGACUUUUCCACUGCACACAUUGAUGGGUUCAUUCCUGUGAUUUCCCCAAAUGUGGGAAACUCAGUUACCUAUUUUUUUUAAAAUGGCAGAUUAUGUUUCAGCAGUUAU